rnacentral:tmRNA from 1 species
GGGGGCGACCUGGUUUCGACACGGGGCGCGAAACAGCGCAGGGCAUGCCGAGGGCCAGAGACCUCGUAAAUCCAUCUGGAAACCUACAAACGCCAACGACGAGCGUUUCGCUCUCGCCGCCUAAACCCGGUGAGACGCUGCACUAGCUGGCCCCUGGGCUAGGUCGGGCAACCGACAGCAGCGACAUUCACAGAGGCUGGAUGUCGGCGGAGUCGCGACGCCGGACAUCGAGAUCCAGCGACUGGCCGUGCGUCGGCCUGCCGAUCGGCUAAGCGCACGGCGAGACUCAAAUAGACCGGCUACGCAUGUAGAACUGCCUGUGGAACUCUCGUGGACGCGGGUUCGAUUCCCGCCGCCUCCACCA